AUUGAACGCUGGCGGCAGGCCUAACACAUGCAAGUCGAGCGGCAGCGGAAAGUAGCUUGCUACUUUGCCGGCGAGCGGCGGACGGGUGAGUAAUGUCUGGGAAACUGCCCGAUGGAGGGGGAUAACUACUGGAAACGGUAGCUAAUACCGCAUAACGUCGCAAGACCAAAGAGGGGGACCUUCGGGCCUCUUGCCAUCGGAUGUGCCCAGAUGGGAUUAGCUAGUAGGUGGGGUAACGGCUCACCUAGGCGACGAUCCCUAGCUGGUCUGAGAGGAUGACCAGCCACACUGGAACUGAGACACGGGCCAGACUCCUACGGGAGGCAGCAGUGGGGAAUAUUGCACAAUGGGCGCAAGCCUGAUGCAGCCAUGCCGCGUGUAUGAAGAAGGCCUUCGGGUUGUAAAGUACUUUCAGCGGGGAGGAAGGUGUUGAGGUUAAUAACCUCAGCAAUUGACGUUACCCGCAGAAGAAGCACCGGCUAACUCCGUGCCAGCAGCCGCCGUAA
rnacentral:rRNA from 1 species